GAGCACGGUGGCACGUGCCUGUAGUCCCAGCUACUUGGAAGGCUGAGGCUGAAGGAUCGCUUGAGCCCAGGAGUUCUGGGCUGUAGUGCGCUAUGCCAAUCGGGUGUCUGCACUAAGUUUGGCAUCAAUAUGGUGACCUCCCAGGAGCGGGGGACCACCAGGUUGCCUAAGGAAGAGUGAACUUACCCAGGCUGGAAAUAGAGCAGGUCAAAAGUCCCGUGUUGAUCAGUAGUGGGAUGGCACCUGUGAAUAGCCACUGCACUCCAGCCUGGGCAACAUAGCGAGACCAUGUCUCA
rnacentral:SRP_RNA from 1 species